CCUACGGGAGGCAGCAGUAGGGGAAUCUUGCGCAAUGGGCGAAAGCCUGACGCAGCCAUGCCGCGUGAAUGAUGAAGGUCUUAGGAUUGUAAAAUUCUUUCACCGGGGAAGAUAAUGACGGUACCCGGAGAAGAAGCCCCGGCUAACUUCGUGCCAGCAGCCGCGGUAAUACGAAGGGGGGCUAGCGUUGCUCGGAAUUACUGGGCGUAAGGGGGCGCGUAGGCGGAUAGUUUAGUCAGAGGUGAAAGCCCAGGGCUCAACCUUGGAACUGCCUUUGAUACUGGCUAUCUUGAGUUCGGGAGAGGUGAGUGGAAUGCCGAGUGUAGAGGUGAAAUUCGUAGAUAUUCGGCGGAACACCAGUGGCGAAGGCGACUCACUGGCCCGAUACUGACGCUGAGGCGCGAAAGCGUGGGGAGCAAACAGGAUUAGAUACCCUGGUAGUCCACGCUGUAAACGAUGAGUGCUAGUUGUCGGCAUGCAUGCAUGUCGGUGACGCAGCUAACGCAUUAAGCACUCCGCCUGGGGAGUACGGUCGCAAGNUUAAAACUCAAAGAGUAGUGACGUGAGAGAGCGACGAGACACAGGAGGAGG
rnacentral:rRNA from 1 species